UCGUUAGCCCGUCGCGGGAACACAAAGGGGGCAUCACUUUCAACACGGGCCGACAAAUCGCCGAAAACGACAAGAGUUGCCGUUCGCGAUCAGAUAAGAGACGUUUCACACUCUCGAGGGAUCACACUUUUGUAUUGUCCAGCCCUUGUUCGAAGGGAGGAAACUACCUCGUUCCUUCAUCCCUCGGCUGCCCGUUCUGUCUGUCUCUCUCCGAGUUUCAUACCCAGGAAGGAAAAAAAAAAGUGACAACUGCCGGUAGACAUUUUGGAAAACACCAGGAGGACACAAUUCGCUAAACAUGUCCCAGAAAAUACAAACAUCAUGUGUGUACGUCUUUGUGGAUAUAAAUUACAUGUAGUAUGUAUGGACGCUUUCUAAUAAGUGACGGUGGAAUGUUUCCUUUUUCGGUGCCCUUGUAGACGAGUAAAAGAAGGCAGAAGCCCCUGGAGAGAAAAAAGAGGCAACUCAUUUUGGGAUAAACGGCAAAAAGUGAUUGUCACAGACACAUUGUGCAACGCCAGGCCUCAAGACACAGAAGAGUUCUACACAGAUUCGGGCACACAAAACUGUCACAGAAAACGGAAGCAGU